UGAUUUAUAUAUAUAUAAUGAUUACCACAUAACAGUCGCCUACAAGUACAGGAACGUAAUCUGACAAAUAUUUAUAACAUACAACACAUCAACUAGAAUACAAAUAUAGCUCAGCUGUAAUAAUAUCUUUGUUAAUAUUUUCAAAAUGGCAUCGGUAUCAAAACAAUCUCUGGACUAUUAGAGCAUCAUUGAAUCAUCCAUAGGCUUUAUAACGAUGAACUCAUUUAAGUAUAGUUUCAUUCAGCGUGUUAUAAACAAUGUUACAUCAUGUGAGCGACGCGAGUCAUCUGUUGAGCCACUGACGUGCAAAUGUGCCCCGUCACCUACAUUAGACACAUCUAACAAUCUCAAUGGAAAUCUACCGAGGAACAUUCGUGAGAGGUGCGUCACAAGGGUUACAAGGAGCGCGUGUUGUUUUCAGCUUAGCGGAGUGACAAACAAGGGGCAUCGAACGAGAAUAUUCCGUUGGACUCUGACGGCUCGGUAUCUAUGUAUUACACUGCACCGGAUAUAACACGAUGCCAUCUUUAUUGUCAAACAAAACAUAUUUACGGAACCACGAAUGAAUGACAAGGCCAGGAGAACAAUGGUAAACAAUUGUUUGCUUGUUUUUUGCGUGCAACCGCAUUCGUGACGAAAAAAAAAAAAAACUAUUUAUUUAAUUUACAAAUGGAUGUUGCCAGCGACUUCGCCAGUGUUUCAGACAAAAAAUAUAUAUAAUUAACGUUUUUGGUUUCUAUUUGAAUGACUGCAAGCUGUAGACAUUACUGCUUCAAGUUAUAAGAACGUUUGAUUUUAUUAAAGGAUAUUUUAAUGGUG